UGUGAUCUGUCAAACAUAUACCUUUUUUCUCAAAUCUAUGGUCUAAAUAGACUUUUGUCUUCCAAUAUAGUUAAUUGCAACGAUAACAUGCACCGUGACUUAUACAUAGUUUCUUUGGCUUAUAACAAAUGCUAAAACAUGAGUGAAUGUGUCUGAUCUACAGGUGUGUUUAAGGCAAAGGACCUCCUCUCUUUGUUCAACUUGAGCAAAUAAAACGGGCGCGCGUCCAUUCCGCACACCCGGCGCAUAGCGCGAAUUAGUGGGCUCGGAGACAGGCAUAUCCUCAUGCGCCAAGCAGAACGCUUUACGUCAUCCGUGCGGCCCAUAUAUAGAAAGGUUUGCUAGGUGGGAUUAGCAAAAGAGGUAGACUCGAGGUCGAAGUCGAACACACAGAUAAUUCAAGAUGACCUAUCUCCUCAGUGCAGCCAUUUUACUAAUCGUCACCUUACCAUGCCUGUCGCAAGCAGCAGAGGGUGAAUGCAGAAACUUCUGUUAUACUCAGUAUAAACUGUGUAAAAACUCUAUGGCUUGUGUUUCCAUGUCUUCAUGCGGAGGCUGCACGCGGAGCUUUGUUUUCUGUAACGAUGAAUGUAGGAAGCGAUACGCCAAGAUGGAGAGCAAACGAGAA